rnacentral:rRNA from 1 species
GACGAACGCUGGCGGCGUGCUUAACACAUGCAAGUCGAACGGGCCUGUCUUCUUUUUUGGGGGUGGGUUGAGUGGCGAACGGGUGAGUAUCACGUGAGUAACCUGCCCUUCGGUCCUGGAUAACCGCUUGAAAGGGCGGCUAAUACGGGGUGGUCCGGUUGGUCCGCAUGGGCUGGUCGGGAUAGAUUCACUGUUUUUGGUGUUUCGGCGGGGGAUGGGCUCGCGGCCUAUCAGCUUGUUGGUGGGGUGAUGGCCUACCAAGGCGGUGACGGGUAGCCGGCCUGAGAGGGUGGGCGGCCACACUGGGACUGCGAUACGGCCCAGACUCCUGCGGGAGGCAGCAGUGGGGGGUAUUGCACGAUGGGCGGAAGCCUGAUGCAGCGACGUCGCGUGAGGGAUGGAGGCCUUCGGGUUGUGAACCUCUGUUUCCGGUGGUGAAGGCCCUGUCCGUGUGGUGGGGUUGACGGUAGCCGGGGAUGAAGCGCCGGCUAACUACGUG